CAACAAGUACCGUAAGGGAAAGUUGA
rnacentral:piRNA from 3 species